GCGUGGAUGCCGCUCUAUCGGCCAUCCCACGGUCGAGGGGAUGGAUAAGAGCAAGCCCUCGACGCUCUCCCUCUCGCCGAAACCCUAGGCCCUCAGUUUUCCCCUCCCUCACAUCUCACACACGAUCUCGAGGUCGCUAGAGCGGAACCGUGGCCGCAUCAUCAUCAACCUCGAGCGUCGUAGCGUCCCCGAGCCUCGAGAGGAGGUCCGAAGGAUGCUGCUCCUUCGUCUUCUUCGACCACGAACAUGGGUUCGUCUGGAGAUGCAACACACCGACGGAUCGGUCUUCAUCUUCCCCGUCGGCCGCCGCACAACCUCGCCUCGAUUCGUCGCCUCCGGAGCUUCCCCGGUGGUCUCGCGCUCGCCAAUCACCUCCUGACACCGAGACCGACGCUGCUGCUACCCAGUACGACUACGGUGUUGAUGACCCCUCUCUCUUGCCAGAGCAACCAGGAGCCAGACGCCACCGUUAACGACGACUCCUACUACACUGGAGGUGCCUACUACUACGUGCAGCCCGCUGACGACGACCAGGAGUAGUUUAGGAGGAUCCCAGGCAUGAGGCAUGCGCCUCUUUCGAUCUGUAUCUCAGUUUGUGCUAGCCUUCUUAAGGCAGACUUGUUUAACUUAUGUUUGUACUCAGAUAUUGUUGCUUCCGCUGACUCGUCUAUGAUCGAGCUUUUGUAUUCGAGCCCUCGAGGCCCCUGGCUUGUAAUAUGAUGCUUGUAUGACUUAUUUUAUUCGUAGAGUUGUGUUAUGAUAUCU
rnacentral:rRNA from 1 species